UACGGAGGGUGCAAGCGUUGUCCGGAUUUAUUGGGCGUAAAGAGCUCGUAGGCGGCUUGUCACGUCGGGUGUGAAAGCCCGGGGCUUAACCCCGGGUCUGCAUUCGAUACGGGCUAGCUAGAGUGUGGUAGGGGAGAUCGGAAUUCCUGGUGUAGCGGUGAAAUGCGCAGAUAUCAGGAGGAACACCGGUGGCGAAGGCGGAUCUCUGGGCCAUUACUGACGCUGAGGAGCGAAAGCGUGGGGAGCGAACAGG
rnacentral:rRNA from 1 species